GACGAACGCUGGCGGCGUGCCUAAUACAUGCAAGUCGAGCGGACGGAUGGGAGCUUGCUCCCAGACCGUCAGCGGCGGACGGGUGAGUAACACGUGGGCAACCUGCCUGUAAGACUGGGAUAACUCCGGGAAACCGGGGCUAAUACCGGAUAACUCUUUCCCUCACAUGAGGGAAAGCUGAAAGAUGGCAUCUCGCUAUCACUUACAGAUGGGCCCGCGGCGCAUUAGCUAGUUGGUGAGGUAACGGCUCACCAAGGCGACGAUGCGUAGCCGACCUGAGAGGGUGAUCGGCCACACUGGGACUGAGACACGGCCCAGACUCCUACGGGAGGCAGCAGUAGGGAAUCUUCCGCAAUGGACGAGAGUCUGACGGAGCAACGCCGCGUGAGUGAUGAAGGUUUUCGGAUCGUAAAACUCUGUUGUCAGGGAAGAACAAGUACCGGAGUAACUGCCGGUACCUUGACGGUACCUGACCAGAAAGCCACGGCUAACUACGUG
rnacentral:rRNA from 1 species